UCCCUGUCCCCGUGUCCCCGUCCCUGUCCCUCCCUGCAGGCGCGGACGCCCUGAUCACCGCGCACGACUUCUUGUCGUGGAUCAAGCAGGAGGAAGAGCCCUGUGUCCGGGAGCCCUGGGAGCUGCCCGAGAGGGAGAUGCUGCCCCCGGGCCCUGGUCCUGCCAGCGAGGGGCUGCUGGUGAAGACGGAGGAGCGGUGCCCGCACGCCGAGCCCUCCGAGGAGGUGGGUUUGCCGGGCGGCUCCGGGGAGCUGCUCUUCCCCGGCACGGGCUUCGGGACCCCCGAGGGACAGGCGGCGGUGCCGGCGGCGGUGGCUCUGCCGGCGCAGCACAGACUGGGCAAAGCUCCGGGCCCCGAGCCGGGCCCGGGGGCCGAUGCCGGGGGCGUCCCCGCGGCGCCGCCGGGCCCCGCCGAGGAGCGGCCGCACGGCUGCGCCGAGUGCGGGAAGAGCUUCAGCGGCAAGAAGAGCCUGCGGAUCCACCAGCGCAGCCACGCGGCCGAGCGGCCCUACCCGUGCGCCGAGUGCGGCAAGAGCUUCAAUUGCCACUCGGGGCUGGUGCGGCACCAGAUGAUCCAUCGCGGCGAGCGGCCCUACAAGUGCUCCGAGUGCGGCAAGUGCUACAGCCGCAAGGAACACCUGCAGAACCACCAGCGGCUGCACACCGGGGAGCGCCCCUUCGCCUGCGCCCAGUGCGGCAAGAGCUUCAUCCGCAAGCAGAACCUGCUCAAGCACCAGCGCAUCCACACCGGGGAGCGCCCGUACCAGUGCCCCGCCUGCGGCCGCAGCUUCCGCUACAAGGAAUCGCUCAAGGAUCACCAGCGGGUCCACGGCGCCGAGGCGGGGCCGCCGCCGCUGCCCCCGCCCGGGAUCCUGCCCCCCGGCGACUAGGGGCCGCCCCGCCGCGGACUGCCGCCCCCCGGGACGGCUUCCGAGCGAACCGAGGUGCCCGGCCGGGGCGGGGGGCAGGCGGGGCGCCCCGGGCGGGGGGACGAGCCCCCGGGUCCCCCGCCACGGACGGACACUUCACCCCCCCAGCGCUCCCCCCACGGACAAUGUCGCCGCACGGGGUGGGGGGCAGCCCCCCGCCGUGUCCCCCCGCGCCACCCCCGCCUGCCGCUCUGUCCCCUCGCCCCCGCUGCUUAUUUUUACUGCCCCCCCCGCGCCGUCCCGCUGUACAGUGCUUGGGGUGUAGUUUUGUAUGGACGAAGCGAUACGGAAUAAAGUCGUGCUGGGCUGCAGAGCCUUCAGCACCCCCGCCGCGGGUCGCCCGUGCUCUGUGGCCGCACUCCCGCCCCGUCCCCGGGGUCCCGCGCCCUGGGAAGGCGGCGGCAGCAGGAUGGGACGGGGGGAAUGUCGUGGUGGGACACAGGGUAGUGGGAAUGGCAGCGCUGUGGGUCCGGGGGUGUGGCGGCUCAGGAGGUCCCUGUGUCACCGGCUGCGGUGGCCUCGUGCAGGUGUGGCUGUGUAGAGACCCCCACUCCUGUCACCGACCCAUCCCUGGAUCCUUCCUGUCCCCUGUCCUUGACCCAUCCCAGGUCCCUCCUACCCCUGAUUUGGGGACAGGAGUUAUUUCAUUAUUUCACACAAUUCUUUCCCCACAGCCGUGUGAAUCCAG
rnacentral:lncRNA from 1 species